rnacentral:rRNA from 1 species
UGGGGAAUAUUGGACAAUGGGCGCAAGCCUGAUCCAGCCAUGCCGCGUGAGUGAUGAAGGCCCUAGGGUUGUAAAGCUCUUUCACCGGUGAAGAUAAUGACGGUAACCGGAGAAGAAGCCCCGGCUAACUUCGUGCCAGCAGCCGCGGGAAUACGAAGGGGGCUAGCGUUGUUCGGAUUUACUGGGCGUAAAGCGCACGUAGGCGGACUUUUAAGUCAGGGGUGAAAUCCCGGGGCUCAACCCCGGAACUGCCUUUGAUACUGGAAGUCUUGAGUAUGGUAGGGGUGAGUGGAAUUCCGAGUGUAGGGGUGAAAUUCGUAGAUAUUCGGAGGAACACCAGUGGCGAAGGCGGCUCACUGGACCAUUACUGACGCUGAGGUGCGAAAGCGUGGGGAGCAAACAGG